rnacentral:rRNA from 1 species
AUUCCGGUUGAUCCUGCCGGAGGUCAUUGCUAUCGGAGUCCGAUUUAGCCAUGCUAGUCGUACGGGUUCAGACCCGUGGCGAAUAGCUCCGUAACACGUGGCCAAUCUACCCUACGGACGAGCAUACCCUCGGGAAACUGAGGCUAAUUCUCGAUAUCGCUCCCACGCUGGAACGCCGGGAGCGUGAAACGUUCCGACGCUGACGGGACUUCGUCCCGUCGCGCAACGAGACGCUUUGCGUCUCGUUUACGCUGUAUCGGUACGGGUUGUGAGAGCAAGAACCCGGAGACGGAAUCUGAGACAAGAUUCCGGGCCCUACGGGGCGCAGCAGGCGCGAAACCUUUACACUGCACGCCAGUGCGAUAGGGGGACUCCGAGUGCGGAGGCAUAGUGCCUUCGCUUUUCUGUACCCUAAGGCGGUACACGAAUAAGAGCUGGGCAAGACCGGUGCCAGCCGCCGCGGUAAUACCGGCAGCUCGAGUGAUGACCGAUCUUAUUGGGCCUAAAGCGUUCGUAGCCGGCCGGACAAGUCCGUCGGGAAAUCUACCAGCCCAACUGGUAGGCGUCCGACGGAAACUGCUCGGCUCGGGACAGAGAGACUCGACGAGUACGUCCGGGGUAGGAGUGAAAUCCCGUAAUCCUGGACGGACUACCGAUGGCGAAAGCACGUCGAGAGAACUGCUCCGACGGUCAGGAACGAAAGCUGGGGUCUCGAACCGGAUUAGAUACCCGGGUAGUCCCAGCCGUAAACGAUGCCUGCUAGGUGCGACCCAGACCACGCGUCUGUGUUGUGCCGUAGGGAAGCCGAGAAGCAGGCCGCCUGGGAAGUACGUCCGCAAGGAUGAAACUUAAAGGAAUUGGCGGGGGAGCACUACAACCGGAGGAGCCUGCGGUUUAAUUGGACUCAACGCCGG